AUUGAACGCUGGCGGCAGGCCUAACCCAUGCAAGUCGAACGAGUGGCGGACGGGUGAGUAAUGUCUGGGACACUGCCCGAUGGAGGGGGAUAACUACUGGAAACGGUAGCUAAUACCGCAUACCAUCGGAUGUGCCCAGAUGGGAUUAGCUAGUUGGGGGGGUAACGGCGCACCUAGGCGACGAUCCCUAGCUGGUCUGAGAGGAUGACCAGCCACACUGGAACUGAGACACGGGCCAGACGCCUACGGGAGGCAGCAGUGGGGAAGAAUGCAAAAUGGGCGCAAGCCUGAUGCAGCCAUGCCGCGGGUAUGAAGAAGGCCUUCGGGUUGUAAAGUACUUUCAGCGAGGAGGCGUUACUCGCAGAAGAAGCACCGGCUAACUCCGUGCCAGCAGCCGCGGUAAUUC
rnacentral:rRNA from 1 species